UGGGGAAUAUUGCGCAAUGGAGGCAACUCUGACGCAGCAACGCCGCGUGGAUGAUGAAGCUCUUUGGAGUGUAAAGUCCUUUCGACGGAGACGAUAAUGACGGUAUCCGUAGAAGAAGCCCCGGCUAAUUUCGUGCCAGCAGCCGCGGUAAUACGAAAGGGGCUAGCGUUGUUCGGAAUUACUGGGCGUAAAGCGCACGUAGGCGGUCGUGUAAGAUGGGGGUGAAAUCCCGGAGCUCAACUCCGGAACUGCCUUCAUGACUGCAUGGCUAGAGGAUGCGAGAGGUUGGCGGAAUUCCGAGUGUAGAGGUGAAAUUCGUAGAUAUUCGGAAGAACACCAGUGGCGAAGGCGGCCAACUGGCGCAUUUCUGACGCUGAGGUGCGAAAGCGUGGGGAGCAAACAGGAUUAGAUACCCUUGUAGUCCCUGAGCGGGCUGGCAAGGCGCAU
rnacentral:rRNA from 1 species